AGAUGUCAUCGGAUAUGUUACUGAGGUAGGUGCGCCAUCUGUGAACGCUUCGGGUUCACGCACAGUCGAAUUCAGUCUAACGAAUGAACGCAAGCGCCAAGUCAGAGUGACACUGUGGGGCCACCUUGGUGAUGUUAUGAUUCAGAGGAAGGGUGAGAACCCACCCGUUUACUCUCUUAUCUUGACUUCCAUGAGCGCGAAGUUCUACCUCGGCACCCUGUGUUUGUCCAGCUCAACAUCGACUAUGCUCAUCGAUUCGGACGAGAUACCUGCGCUGCAGUCUUUCAGGGCGUCCAUC